AACGAACGCUGGCGGCAGGCUUAACACAUGCAAGUCGAACGCGAAAUCACCUUCAGGUGGUGGAGAGUGGCAGACGGGUGAGUAACGCGUGGGAACCUACCUAGUGGUACGGAAUAACUCAGGGAAACUUGGGCUAAUACCGUAUGUGCCCGAAAGGGGAAAGAUUCAUCGCCACUAGAUGGGCCCGCGUCGGAUUAGCUUGUUGGUGAGGUAACGGCUCACCAAGGCGACGAUCCGUAGCUGGUCUGAGAGGAUGAUCAGCCACACUGGGACCGAGACACGGCCCAGACUCCUACGGGAGGCAGCAGUGGGGAAUAUUGGACAAGGGGCGCAAGCCUGAUCCAGCCAUGCCGCGUGAGUGAUGAAGGCCCUAGGGUUGUAAAGCUCUUUCGGCGGGGACGAUAAUGACGGUACCCGCAGAAGAAGCCCCGGCUAACUUCGUGCCAGCCGCCGCAGUAA
rnacentral:rRNA from 1 species